rnacentral:rRNA from 1 species
CAGUAGCCGCGGGAAUACGAAGGGGGCUAGCGUUGUUCGGAUUUACUGGGCGUAAAGCGCACGUAGGCGGAUCGAUCAGUCAGGGGUGAAAUCCCAGAGCUCAACUCUGGAACUGCCUUUGAUACUGUCGAUCUGGAGUAUGGAAGAGGUGAGUGGAAUUCCGAGUGUAGAGGUGAAAUUCGUAGAUAUUCGGAGGAACACCAGUGGCGAAGGCGGCUCACUGGUCCAUUACUGACGCUGAGGUGCGAAAGCGUGGGGAGCAAACAGGAUUAGAUACCCCUGUAGUCCCUGUCUCUUAUAC